GACGAACGCUGGCGGCGUGCUUAACACAUGCAAGUCGAACGAUGAUGCCCAGCUUGCUGGGUGGAUUAGUGGCGAACGGGUGAGUAACACGUGAGUAACCUGCCCCUGACUCUGGGAUAAGCGUUGGAAACGACGUCUAAUACUGGAUAUGAUCACUGGCCGCAUGGUCUGGUGGUGGAAAGAUUUUUUGGUUGGGGAUGGACUCGCGGCCUAUCAGCUUGUUGGUGAGGUAAUGGCUCACCAAGGCGACGACGGGUAGCCGGCCUGAGAGGGUGACCGGCCACACUGGGACUGAGACACGGCCCAGACUCCUACGGGAGGCAGCAGUGGGGAAUAUUGCACAAUGGGCGAAAGCCUGAUGCAGCAACGCCGCGUGAGGGAUGACGGCCUUCGGGUUGUAAACCUCUUUUAGUAGGGAAGAAGCGAAAGUGACGGUACCUGCAGAAGAAGCACCGGCUAACUACGUGCCAGCAGCCGCGGUAAUACGUAGGGUGCAAGCGUUGUCCGGAAUUAUUGGGCGUAAAGAGCUCGUAGGCGGUUUGUCGCGUCUGCUGUGAAAUCCCGAGGCUCAACCUCGGGCUUGCAGUGGGUACGGGCAGACUAGAGUGCGGUAGGGGAGAUUGGAAUUCCUGGUGUAGCGGUGGAAUGCGCAGAUAUCAGGAGGAACACCGAUGGCGAAGGCAGAUCUCUGGGCCGUAACUGACGCUGAGGAGCGAAAGCAUGGGGAGCGAACAGGAUUAGAUACCCUGGUAGUCCAUGCCGUAAACGUUGGGCGCUAGAUGUAGGGACCUUUCCACGGUUUCUGUGUCGUAGCUAACGCAUUAAGCGCCCCGCCUGGGGAGUACGGCCGCAAGGCUAAAACUCAAAGGAAUUGACGGGGGGCCGCACAAGCGGCGGAGCAUGCGGAUUAAUUCGAUGCAACGCGAAGAACCUUACCAAGGCUUGACAUACACCGGAAACGGCCAGAGAUGGUCGCCCCCUUGUGGUCCGGUGUACAGGUGGUGCAUGGUUGUCGUCAGCUCGUGUCGUGAGAUGUUGGGUUAAGUCCCGCAACGAGCGCAACCCUCGUUCUAUGUUGCCAGCGGGUUAUGCCGGGGACUCAUAGGAGACUGCCGGGGUCAACUCGGAGGAAGGUGGGGAUGACGUCAAAUCAUCAUGCCCCUUAUGUCUUGGGCUUCACGCAUGCUACAAUGGCCGGUACAAAGGGCUGCGAUACCGUAAGGUGGAGCGAAUCCCAAAAAGCCGGUCUCAGUUCGGAUUGAGGUCUGCAACUCGACCUCAUGAAGUCGGAGUCGCUAGUAAUCGCAGAUCAGCAACGCUGCGGUGAAUACGUUCCCGGGCCUUGUACACACCGCCCGUCAAGUCAUGAAAGUCGGUAACACCCGAAGCCGGUGGCCUAACCCCUUGUG
rnacentral:rRNA from 1 species